UGGCACUGUCUUUGAACCUGUUUGGCCUUUUUUGUGGCCUCAUAGGCCAAGCAACAGUGCAAAAUCAAGUCUGGCUUGUUAUAACUGGGGCAUCAUGGUGUAUUUCCCACGUUGCUCUUUUAAAAGCAAUCUACAAUU